rnacentral:rRNA from 1 species
UACGUAGGGUGCGAGCGUUGUCCGGAAUUAUUGGGCGUAAAGAGCUUGUAGGUGGCUCGUUGCGUCGGGAGUGAAAACCUGCGGCUUAACCGCAGGCCUGCUUCCGAUACGGGCGAGCUAGAGUUCGGCAGGGGAGACUGGAAUUCCUGGUGUAGCGGUGGAAUGCGCAGAUAUCAGGAGGAACACCGGUGGCGAAGGCGGGUCUCUGGGCCGGAUACUGACACUGAGAAGCGAAAGCGUGGGGAGCGAACAGG